rnacentral:lncRNA from 1 species
GAAUCAAUCAGUGACUUAAUAAUCAUCCUUCUUGCAAGAGUUCCAAUAAGGACUUUGACCUUAGGCCAACAGAAAACUUCCUAUCCCUGAAAGGAGUGUUAUGUGGCUUGUGUGGACCCUGACAAAGGACACCUAUCCCAACAGUGCUGUCAGAUUUCCCUCUUCUGGAAUCUAACUCCAAAGCUACUUUGGAAGAAGCAACACACAAGGAAGCCAAGGAAGGGACAAAAAGUUAAAUCCCUCCUGCUCAGUCCUAUAGCCACAUGUUAGCCCUGCCAUGGGUGGUAGAGAUAGAGACAGGGGUUACGGGGAUAAGAAAUGUGAAAAGAUAAUUUAUCAAACUCCUUCUAGGCACACAAGUGCUUAGUACAAAACAUAGGAUUAAAAACAGACAAAUUGAUCCUGCUGUCAUAUACCUUUUAAAGAAAUACAGAAGUAUCCAAAGAACAAUACACUGAGGAAAAGUCAAGGGUAUUGUAAAUGUCCAUUGUGUUGAUAGAUUAAAGAGACGUACUUGGAACUAAGAAAGGCUACAAGAGGAAUAAAAAAGACCGGCUUAUAUGACACCAUUCCACCUCUUAAGCACAUGACAGACAUCACCAAUUAAUCACAGAAUUCUUUUCUCUGGAACCCAGCUAUGGUUCCAGAGUUUUUGCUCCUACAAUACACCAGGCAGCUACUACACGUCAGCCUGAUCCAGCUUGUGAGAUGAAUGAAGGUGUUUGCCUAAAUUCACUGGUUCAGGGGACCCCAAAACACUAAGAUGUCACCCAAAAGCACUGAGGAUGUUAGGAUAUUAUAUGGGUUAUAGGAAAGGGAAGGCUGAUAACACACAUUUAGAAAAGGGUAGAAUUUCUAUCGUGAACAAAUAGGAAGAAGAUACAGCUUUAGCUUCUCCAGCAGGAAUGGAGGAGACAUCGCAUAUCAAAGACCUCUGCAAAACCAGUCAGCUCUGUGAGGAUCAGGCUUUGUCUGAUGAUGCCCCGGAGCCCAGCACAGUGCCUGGCCCAAUAAGUUGGGUUUGCUUCAGCUGUGGCCGCUCUGCCCUUUGGAACACACAGCCCAGUCUGUCGGAAUGUGAAGUGAGGCAUGGUGCUCCGAGAACAGGAGUUCCGUUACUGAGCUUUACAGAAAUGAGAAGAGGCUGUGCAUGUGACAAUCCUGGUGUAUGCUAAAUAUUAAGGUAUCAAAUACACUUAUCAUUUGGAGUAACAGCCCAGAUAACAACCUUCAAGAGUAGAGCAAAUGGGACAGUGACGAAGAAGUGACAGAAGUCACUUCUGUGAUCCAUGGGACUUCUUACCAGGUGGCCGCAAAGAUACAUUCCAAUUCCAAGACUCGUUUCUCAAGAGCUUUGAAAACAAAUAAAGCAGCCAAUACUAUGCA